rnacentral:miRNA from 1 species
UCGCUGAUACUGGUGGAAGCGC